CCGCGGAGUGGCAGAGGUUCGCUGCGGCGUACAGGAGUUGCGUCGCGUCGACGUCGCGGCGGAUCGUCCCCGCCUCGGCUGC
rnacentral:tRNA from 1 species